rnacentral:sRNA from 1 species
GUUGCAUCAUGUCAUCAAAACAGAGUAAUCUAACAAACAAUUCUGAUUCCAAACUGAGCAACAAAACAGAGUAAAAGGGUUCGAAGCGUACCCAGGAGCAGAACCGUCAAGGUAAGCUGGUCGUGGCUCGCCAGGCAUCCAGUGAGCAGCCAUUCUGAUACGACCAACAUUCCCGGCGUUUGGGAGUGGAACUCCGGCGGAUACGAAUUUAGACUUGGAAGAAGAGAGAAGCGAAGGGUACACGGCGGCUAUGCCACAGCUCAUAAGCGAGUUCGACGCCAUCGUUUCUCUCUAUCUGUCGUUGUGUUUGCCACCAAAGGAGAAAGAUGUGGACGAGAGGUGUUUGGUGGAAGUGUGAAUG